GAGGAUUCCAUAAGGGAAUCACUCGUCUUGGAACGGAAGAGCUGCUCCACGUGCUGCAGGAGAGUGAACAGCUCAUCGGAUGGCCGUGCACACUGGCAUUCCUCACAGAGCGAGAAGCUGAUGACCCUCUUCGCUACGUAUCCUGCCAGGUGGCAGAGGACACAAGACUCGGUCUUUGUGAGGUCAGGUGGUGAUGGGUCUACCAGCUGCUCCACUCUCACAACCUCAGAAGCACUGCAGUUGCUGUUCUUGUUGUCCAAGAAGUCCGCCAAGUGGUCUGAUGCAUCAUCCAGAUCUUCCUGGAUCUCCAGGAUCGUUGUUGUGGACAUCAUCAGUCCUGUCUGCGACAUUAUAAUAUGCUGUGAAUGGUUUGCCCUAUAUAUAGUGUUACCUGCUGUGUCCAUUGUUGAAUAUAUUGUCGCCCUAUUUCGAUUCAUCUGCUUUUUAGUGUCCAGGACUCAGAUGAAGAGGAUGUUAGUAUGCGUUGACGAGAGGAACUGCCCUACAGUGACUGGCCAUAGUGCAUACUGGAACUCCACAGGUGUGAGUCUGAUGUAUGCAAGAGAAAGUAUUUUUCUAGGCAGUCCUGAAUGAACUGGCUUUAAUGAACAUAUUUGUGCCCCUGUCUCAACAGAUCUUGCUGGACCAGCAGUAUCGUUGUUGUGGCCAUCACAGGUUUCAGUGGAGCCCCCCCCCCCCC